UACGAAGGAUGCGAGCGUUAUCCGGAUUUAUUGGGUUUAAAGGGAGCGUAGGCGGUCUUAUAAGUCAGUGGUGAAAUCUCGUUGCUUAACAACGAACGUGCCAUUGAUACUGUAGGACUUGAGUACAGUUGCCGUUGGCGGAAUGUGUCAUGUAGCGGUGAAAUGCAUAGAUAUGACACAGAACACCGAUUGCGAAGGCAGCUGACGAAACUGUAACUGACGCUGAGGCUCGAAAGCGUGGGGAUCAAACAGG
rnacentral:rRNA from 1 species